AUUGAACGCUAGCGGCAUGCCUUACACAUGCAAGUCGAGCGAGCGGCGGACGGGUGAGUAAUGUAUGGGGACCUGCCCAGUAGCGGGGGAUAACUACUGGAAACGGUGGCUAAUACCGCAUACUAUCGGAUCGACCCAUAUCGGAUUAGCUAGUUGGUGGGGUAAAGGCUCACCAAGGCCACGAUCGCUAGCUGGUCUGAGAGGAUGAUCAGCCACACGGGGACGGAGACACGGCCCAGACUCCUACGGGAGGCAGCAGUGGGGAAUAUUGGACAAUGGGGGCAAGCCGGAUGCAGCCAUGCCGCGUGUAUGAAGAAGGCCUUAGGGUUGUAAAGUACUUUUAGCAGGGAGGCGGUAUCCGCAGAAGAAGCACCGGCUAACUACGUGCCAGCAGCCGCGGUAAUUC
rnacentral:rRNA from 1 species